rnacentral:lncRNA from 1 species
AUCUUGGGCCAGCCUUGACCUGCAUAUGCACUUGAGAAUGAUCUUGAGCUCCGCCCCACCCCCACCCCCACCCCCUUGAACCUUCUGAGUGCUGGGUUGCAAGGUUUGUAACUCCACACUUUGUUUAUUCAAGGCUGGGGGUUGGGGUGAGAACCCAUGCAAGCAUCCAAACAACUAAGCUACAUUUCUAGACCCAACUUUUCAUCUUUCAAUUUUAUUUUGUGUGUGUAUGUGUGAAGUCAAGGAAUGGAUUUCAGGUUGUCAGGAAUGUGUACCAGGUGCCUUUACACAGUUUUUCUCUUUCUUAGUGGUGGUCUUUGAAGCACAAAAGGGUGUUUAAUUUUUUUUUUAAUUCAGCUCCUUUUAUUUGUGAAAAAUGAUUUUGCACAGGAGUCAUUGAGCUUUCUGGAUUUGCCCUCUGUGCUGUCUGGUGGGCAUUUCACCUUUUCUGUCCCAGCACUGAGCGGCUCCUCGUCAUUUUAUUAUGUGAUUCUCAAGAUCUCCUUCAUCUCCUUCCUCCUUUCUUCUCUGUUUCUCUCCAUGCUCAUCUUCCCCAUUUUCAGUUUCUUUUGUAUGCUUGCAGCAUGUCGCUUUUCUUUGUGCACGUGUGUGUUGUGUGGGUGCACAUGUGUGUCAGGUGUGCAUGUUUGUGCUUGUGUGGGUGUGCAUGUGUGUCUGGUGUGCAUGUGUGAAUUCACGUGAUAGCCACAGAUGAACCUUGGGUGCUGUUUCUCAGGAGCUGUCUUAGUGUCCUUUAUCCUGAUAAAGCAAAUGUGUGGAGAAAGGAUUUGUUCACUGUCACUCACAAUCUAGGUGAUAGUCCACCCUCACAGACAGGUCAAGGUAGCAGGGACAUAAAACAGUUGGUCACAUCACACCCACAGCCAAAAAUAGACAGAGACAAAUUUGCCAGUGCUUAGUUGUGCUUAACAUUCUCUCUACUUGAUAAAGUACUAGCUCCCCUGCCUAGGGAAUGGCCCUGCCUAUAAUGAGCUACAUAGAUCUUCCCAUACUGAUCAACACAAGACAGUCCCCCAUGAACACGUCCACAGGCCAACCACUGACUGAUCCAGUCAGGGUCUCACUGAGACUCUCUGUUAAGUUUGAUGAAAAACCCAGGCAUGAUGGUCCCUACCCCCAGUACUUGGGAGAUGAAGGCAGAAGGAUUAGGAAUUUAAGGCCCUCUUGGCUACUUUUCAAGUUUAAAGCCAGCCUAGGCUACAUUAGAUGCUGUCUAUCCCCCAUCCAUCAAUCAAGGUUUAAUGGAAAGCAAGAAUCUCAAGUGGGGGUGUUCUAAAUUUCUAUUGCUGCUAGAACACUCUAGGAACAGCAUUCUUGGUGGAGAGUUGAGUUGUCCAGCACCAUAAUGUGACAGGUGCCACAACAGGGCAGAGGACAGGUGUUGCCCACUAGGCAUUUUUAGGCACCAAUAUCUGAGCAUGAAAGGGAAGAACUGUUGUCCCCUUAAAUGGCUAUGAGCUUUUUGUUCCUAACAAGGAGUUACACACACACACACACACACACACACACACACACACACACACACACACACACACAGAGAGAGAGAGAGAGAGAGAGAGAGAGAGAGAGAGAGAGAGAGAGAGAGAGAGAGAGAAAAUCAAAUACAAGAGUCAUGGUGAAUCAUUACCAUACUGUCCUACAGUCAACUUUGCUCUUAAUAAGUUACCUCAGAAUGCUAGCCUCUCUGGCCCAUGCCCAGGAAGCUUUGCCAUCUGAUAUUUUAGGGCAUGUGACCUAUGAAGAGGCAGGAUCUGAAAACAGGCAGGAUCAGGCAUGUGCAGCUCUCUGCAGGCAAUGGCAUCUUUUCUGUGCGAGCACGCACCUGUUCCCCAGUAAGACCCCAUGGCUUCCCAAGUUCACGCUUAUUCUUGUUUUGGAAGCCAUCCCUGGUGCUGCAGAAAGUAAGGUGCUCUCUUACCUCCUGCUUGUGCUUAUUGGUCAAGGGUGACCCUGCUGUGCUCCCUGGCAGAGGGAUUGUCACACUCCUUCUAGGGGAUGGAGAUGCAGUUUAGCUGGUAAGUGCUUGCCAGCUCGCACAAGCCAUGGUUUAAUCCCCAGCUCUUCAUGAGAAUGUAAACAAGGUGUGUCCAUGCAGGUUUGGACCCACAGGCAUCAGGAGGUGGAACAGGGAGGCGUGGUAGAACCCCCAAGGUUACCCUCAGGACAUGGCGACUUGAGCGAAGUCUAUGAUACCCUGUCUCAAGACAAUACAUUUUAAAAGUUCAAAAAUUUAAAUGGUGUUGAGCACUGUGUCCAACUAAAAUUUAUAUUCAAACAAACAAAAUUUCUUAUGUAGUCUAGCUCUUGAUUUAUAAAGGGAGAAAACGAGGCCCAGGAACUUUGCAGUGGAGAUGGGACCUGAAUCCAGAAUCUUGACUUUUGUUUUUAAUGUCGCUGGUCAUCACAUCCCAUUAUAGAUGAUUGUGAGCCACCAUGUGGGUUCUGGGAUUUGAACUUGGGUCCAUCUAGAAGAGCAGUCAGUGCUCUU